GACAGAGGGUGCAAACGUUUGUUCGGAAUUACUGGGCGUAAAGCGUGCGCAGGCGGUCUGUUAAGACCGAUGUGAAAUCCCCGGGCUUAACCUGGGAACUGCAUUGGUGACUGGCAGGCUUUGAGUGUGGCAGAGGGAGGUAGAAUUCCACGUGUAGCAGUGAAAUGCGUAGAGAUGUGGAGGAAUACCGAUGGCGAAGGCAGCCUCCUGGGCCAACACUGACGCUCAUGCACGAAAGCGUGGGAGCAACAGG
rnacentral:rRNA from 1 species